GACGAACGCUGGCGGCGUGCCUAAUACAUGCAAGUAGAACGCACAGUUUAUACCGUAGCUUGCUACACCAUAGACUGUGAGUUGCGAACGGGUGAGUAACGCGUAGGUAAUCUGCCUGGUAGCGGGAGAUAACUAUUGGAAACGAUAGCUAAUACCGCAUAAUAUUAAUUAUUGCAUGAUAAUUAAUUGAAAGGUGCAAUUGAACCACUACCAGAUGGACCUGCGUUGUAUUAGCUAGUGGGGGAGGUAACGGCUCACCUAUGCGACGAUACAUAGCCGACUUUGGAGGGGGAACGGCCAAACUGGGACAUGCACUCGGCCCAGGCUCCUACGGGAGGCAGCAGUAGGGAAUCUUUGGCAAUGGACGAAAGUCUGACCGAGGAACGCCGCGUGAGUUAAGAAGGGUUUCGGAGCGUAAAACUCUGUUGUGAGAGAAGAACGGGGGUGAGAGUGGAAAGUUCACAAUGUGACGGUAUCUUACCAGAAAGGAACGGCUAACUACGUG
rnacentral:rRNA from 1 species